CUCUCUCACUGGCAGCAACCCAGCGCUUCCAUUGCUGACCUCUACCGACCUCUACCUGUGGUCCUUCCUCUACUGCAGCAGAGACACUGUUUUCUUCCUUUGUUCUUCCAACCCCAUGGCACAGAAACACUCUCCACUGCGGCCAAGGAUUGCAGGAGAGGUGGCAUCAGUGAUUCAAGACUUCUUUUCCUACCUCUUCAGUGUUUCUUUCAGUGAUCUGAAGUUAAAGCCAGGUGAAUAAACUGACACUGGAACAUUCAGGAACUUCUUCAUGGUCAUGGUCACCCAGCUAGAGUGUGGAAGCCAGGCUGUCUGAUUCCAGGAUCUGUGUUCUUAAUCCUAUACAUAAGGAAGCCAUAAUGAGUCAACCACUAUUUUUAAGAUUCACAGAUGUUCGGGUCCAAUUCACCAGAAUGCCAAGUUAUACAGGGUUGUGGAAUCAAAAACUGCAAUUAGUAAUAAAAUGUGAUGCUAUCUAGAAUGUUUUUCAUACAUAUAUAUGCUUCUUGGGACUCUCCCUGCAGGUUAAGAGAAAUUGAGAAACGAUGGAGAAUUUAAGUGUUUUAGAUCCUACAUACAUUAGACUUAAAAAUAGUAACUAUGUACAUGAGUAUUUGUAAACUUAAGAAUGAACAUAACAUGAACCAUGUGGCACCUAUAAAAUGAAAAUAAAAUACCUACAAACCAAAUGAGAGCAAUAAAAGAAGCUUUAAGGACUUUCACUUCAGGGAGUCUGAAUUAGAUGCGCUUCUUCCCAUUCCUCCCUCUAAUUACAACAAGCUUGGACGUUACAUACAGAACAAACAGAAGGAGUCUCUGAAAGAUGAAGAGAAGGCAAGUAAGCUACAGACUUCACAAUGUAAGGAAUAAUAUGGUGGUGAGUUACAUUUGUGAUUUUUUUUUGUCUCAUAUCCCAUAAUAUCUCAUAUCUCAUAAUCAGUUAGAAAGCACAAUGGAAAAGUAUUCCACUGCCAAUGGUGUUAGAGAACUGCUCACAAAUUCAACAGAAAUGCACAGAUACCAAAGCAGAAAGGACAAUAAACAAGAGUCUUCAUGGUCAAAAGAUUAGAAGCUGCAGCUUUCAAUGGGAGGGACAGGUUCUGGACCACACUGCAGUGCUUUUCUGCUUUCUGUGCUUUCCCACUCUAGAGCUGAAGAAGGUAACGACCCCAAAAUGUCAAUAUACGUAGACCAAAAACCAGCCCCAAUAAAAGUCUGCUCUCUCUAGCCAAAGGACUACAGUAGGGCAGCCCAGCAAGACAGAAAACCUUCAGACA
rnacentral:lncRNA from 1 species